rnacentral:misc_RNA from 1 species
GUACGCCAACGUGCCGUCCCGCGACAAAAACAAGCCUAAAUUAAGCAAUGGCGUCUCGUACGGGCCACAGUUGAUAGUUGUCCUAUGAUUUUUGUUUAUGAUACUUUAUAUACGGAUCGCCCGGAAAAAUGUUAUGCUUUUCUAAUGUCUAUUAAAUAUACCUUCUUUAAAAAUAUAUAUUUAAAAAACUCAUACUCACUUAAACAGUAUAAUUACCUUAAGAAUAAUAUAUGUAUUUUUCCUUCUGAUGAAUAUACAUUUGCGUGUUUUUGUUCCAAUAAUUUAAAAAGAUUUGAAAUGAGUUCUGUGCAUGUUGAUCUGAAGCAGAUCUUGUGUAAGAUUGAAAACAUUUGUCGGAUUUACAUUGAAAUUAUUUACUGGAUUUAAAGUUAUGCUUCAGUAAAACAAUUCUAUCACAUUUUGCUCUCAAGGAGUCUUAUACAUUUUUAUUAUAAAUAAUAGAUUUUUCUAGGGUUUCGACAUUUUUGUAAAAAAGGAUUAUUAUACCAUGGAGAUGCAUCCUGUAGAUGAUGAUGAACCAAAUAGUGAAUUAAUUAUUCAAGAUUCAUCUAUUGCUGAUUCCAAACAGUCAGAAAACUGCUUACCAAAAAAAGUAUCAGAUAAAUUAUCUGAAAAUUCAGUUAUUGUUUUAGAUGAUGGAAUUUUACAAAAAGAUGAUGAAGUUAUUUAUAUGGGAUCAAAAAGAGGCAAUAUUCCAAGAUCUCGUAUUACAGGUAAUUUUUGUGUUUUAAGUUAUAUAUUCAUCAAAAGUUUUUUCCCCCCAAAUUUAGGGUAGGUGUAAUAUUUUUAUCAUGUUCAUGAUAUAUUUGAAAUAAGUUCUCUGUUCAAAAUGGACCUCAGCUAGUACUAACGUGAUCCCUUGAGAUAAU